rnacentral:rRNA from 1 species
GACGAACGCUGGCGGCGUGCUUAACACAUGCAAGUCGAGCGGUAAGGCCCUUUCGGGGGUACGACGAGCGGCGAACGGGUGAAUAACACGUGGGUGACCUGCCCUCCAGCUCUGGGAUAAGCCUGGGAAACCGGGUCUAAUACCGGAUAUGACUCCAUGACGCAUGUUGUGGGGUGGAAAGCCUUGUGCGGCUGAGGAUGGGCCCGCGGCCUAUCAGCUUGUUGGUGGGGUGAUGGCCUACCAAGGCGACGACGGGUAGCCGGCCUGAGAGGGCGGACCGGCCACACUGGGACUGAGACACGGCCCA